GACCGCCAGUGGAAAUCGAUUUCUACUGGCAGUUGAGAUAAGAAAAUCGCCAGUGGAAAUCGAUUUCCACUUGCGGUC
rnacentral:pre_miRNA from 7 species